UACGUAGGGACCAAGCGUUGUUCGGAUUUACUGGGCGUAAAGGGCGCGUAGGCGGCAAUUUCAAGUCAGCUGUGAAAUCUCCGGGCUUAACUCGGAACGGUCAGCUGAUACUGCUUUGCUAGAGUGCAGAAGGGGCAAUCGGGAAUUCUUGGUGUAGCGGUGAAAUGCGUAGAUAUCAAGAGGAACACCUGAGGUGAAGACGGGUUGCUGGGCUGACACUGACGCUGGAGGCGCGAAAGCGUGGGUAGCAAACAGG
rnacentral:rRNA from 1 species